rnacentral:misc_RNA from 1 species
CCUCCUUUUUAGGGAGACCUAACCCAUCACUAAACCGAAACACAGUAAUUAGGUAGUUGAUGAGGUCACCCAAGGUCGUUCGAGGAUUGUCGAUAGCUUUCAAACUAUAGAUGGUUUGGUUUACAUCUUUUUUAAAAUAAUGGAUAAACCAUCUCAGCAAUCUUGCAAUUAAAUUAGUGGCAAGUCUGCUGGGUUGAAUCCAGCCAGAACCUUGAAAACUGCAUAGAGAAGUAGCGAAAGAAAAGCAGAUAGGAAAGUGUAGGUAGAAAAUCCAGACACGAAACUAUUAAAGUGGUCAAG